GACCGGGACGACAUGUGGCAGGAGCUUGUAGCGCUUUUGAACGAAGAAGUCCCUGUGCGUAACACCAGGGCCCAGUGGCAGGCCCGAUGGAGGAAUGAGCGCUACUAUUCGCAGCAGGGUCUUGCCAAACUCCGAGGGCAGCAGAGGUGAGCCCUGCUCCAGCUGCUACUGGUGUGGCUGAAGAGGAUGUGGCCCAGGAUCUUCCCCGUGCCCCAACUCCUCAUGCCGCAGCUGCGAGAUGGGGGCAACCGGCAGGCCGAGGCGCUGGAGUUACUAGUCGCAAACACCAGGCGACAGGGCCAGGCGUCAUUGGAAAGCUGCGCCAGGUUCAACUUCUCGGUGACGUGGUCCACGAAUUGCAAGGCGUUGGUACCCUCGCCCGGGCCCUCAUUGCAGCGGAAGGCACCUGCACAGUGAUUUGUGAAGACUAGUUGUACAUAUAUGUAGAUUUAU